CAAACAGGGCGCAAUUGAAGGCUUCGCGCGAAGGGAAGGAUCUAACACGAAAAUUCCCCAUUUUGAAUGGAAAUGCGCAGAUCCGGCCUACUAAACGAGCUGAUGCGCUGACCUUCCUCAUUAUAAAUGGCGUCGUUUUGUUAAUAGGUUUUGUAAAAUCUUUUUUUUCCUAUUCCUUUUCCAAACGCAGCCCACAUUUUGGCCAGAAUUCACAACCCUAAAAUCGAUUUGUUAGGGCUCAUUCCAGCAACCACCAAAUCCACCAUUUCCUUUGGUGAUCGGUGGUGCACCAUCGAUGCCUAGAAGACGUCAAAGACCCUGCUCAAGGAGAACAGGGGUGGAGAAACGGCCGUACGGAAAAAGCCACUCGUGGAAGCCGUGCAUGGGAAAACCCCUCGUGAAAGCUCGAUUGCAGUACUAGCAUGUUCUAGAAACCCUUAGGUUUCUGUAUUUUCAAGUUGUUGGGCCUUUUGGGCCGUUUGUGAGUUGGGCUAUGGGACCUUGGGAUUUUGGGUGUAAGUUUAUUAGGUUAAAUAUUUGAGCCUUUAUUUUUGGAUUAAAUAAAUUAUAAAUAUAUUUUUUUGGACCAGUA